AUAUAUUAUUGGCAAUUGAGGCAAUGCCAAUUGAGCAAGUUGACCCUGCCAAUGGCUAGCCGAUUUCACUCAAAAGUUUAGUUCAGCCUCGUAGAAAGCUUGUUUUGAAUUCUGCUCUCUCAAGAUAACACAUUCUCCCCUUUUGUCACCCUAGACAUGUCUAAUUAGUGAUGGCUCGGCUUGUGACAAUCACAAGCCAACUCGAGCUCGACCCGGC
rnacentral:lncRNA from 1 species